GCGCAGUCAAGGGUGUUACUUACGAAAGGGAUCUUUCCUGCGGAGAACCAUGCCGGCUAAGCCAGCCCCUGCAAAGAAGGCGGCCAAGAAGGAGGCCAAGAAGGAGGAACCAGCUCCCGCUCCUGAGCCAGCGCCAGAGCCUGCACCUGAGGCUCCUCCUGCUGAAGCCCCACCGGCCGAGGCUCCCCCGGCCGAGGCAGCACCGGCCGAGGCAGCCCCACCAGCAGAGGGAGAGGCACCUCCCGCCGAGGCUCCACCAGCUGAGGAACCCAAGGCACCAACUCCCCCUCCUCCAGAAGCUGCUGCUGAAGCUCCACCGGUUGAGGAGGUCAGAGCUCCUACCCCUCCUCCUCCUGCAGAGCCCACCAGUGAGCCCCUGGAGCUGGUCGUGGAAGAUGUCAACGACACUUCAGUCACAAUCCAGUGGAGACCUCCUGCCACUAUUGGCAACGCCGGCUUGGACGGAUACACUGUGGAAUGCUGCAAAGAAGGAACUGGUGACUGGAAGGCUGUGAACGAGGAGCUCACCGUUUCCUGCCGCUAUGUUAUCAAGAACCAGACCACUGGUGACAAACUGAACAUCAGGGUGGUGGCUGUUAAUGCUGGAGGCCGUAGCCCUCCUGGUGUUUUGCCUGAUGCUGUUCUGGUCAGAGAGGUUGUUGAUCGCCCCAAGAUCCACCUGCCCCGUAUUCUGAGACAGCGCUAUGUGGUGAAUGUUGGAGAGAAGAUCAACCUUGUCAUCCCCUUCAGCGGCAAACCUCAGCCCGUGGUCACCUGGACAAAAGACGGCCAGCCUCUCGACACCAAGAGAGUGAACAUCCGUAACACCGACAAGGACAGCAUCUUCUUCAUCCGCACCUCUGAGAGAGCGGACUCCGGCGUCUAUGAGAUGUGUGUUAAGGUGGACAGCUUUGAGGACAAAGCCCAGUUAACCCUGCAGAUCAUUGAGCUGCCAGGUCCUCCUGCAUCUGUAAAGAUUGUGGAUACCUGGGGUUUCAACGUCGCUCUGGAAUGGACUGAGCCAAAAGACAAUGGAAACACAACUAUCACUGGCUACACAAUCCAGAAAGCUGACAAAAAGACCGGGGACUGGUACACAGUGUUGGAGCACUAUCACAGGAUGAACGCCACCAUCUCAGACCUCAUCAUGGGCAACACUUACACUUUCAGGGUCUUCUCUGAGAACAAGUGUGGAAUUAGUGAACAGGCUACUGUCACAAAGACCUUUGCCACCAUCCAGAAGACAGGUAUCGACUACAAGCCACCACAGUACAAAGAACACGACUUCAGCGAACCUCCCAAGUUCACCACCGUCAUGCCCGACCGCAGCACCACUGUGGGCUACAGCACCAAGCUGCUGUGCGCUGUCAGAGGAAGCCCAAAGCCCAAGAUCGAAUGGAUGAAAAACCAGAUGAUCAUUGGUGACGACCCCAAGUUCAGGCAGAUCAACAACCAGGGCAUCUGCUCUCUGGAGAUCCGCAAACCCGGUAACUUUGACGGUGGCGUGUACUCCUGCAGAGCCAAGAAUGCGCACGGAGAGGCUAUCGUCACCUGCAAGCUGGAGGUCAAACAACCAGUGAUUGCUGAUGCUGAUAAGAAAUAAGUUGUGAAGCCACCACAUUCAUGCAGUCCCAAAUUAGGAGCAGCAGGAAGAGAGAGUCCUUUCAAAAGGAUCUUGCCGACACUGGUUGCUGAAACAUAAGAAAAUCAUGAACUGUACAUAUAAAGGAAAAAAAAUAAAGAGACAUUUAACGUCCUUUUCGUAUGUAACACUCUGACUCACAAUUAAAGCACAUAUAUAGUUAUUAUAUAUAUUGACUGCUGGUGGUCGAAACAUCUAUUUAAGUAUUUGUGUCUAUUUAUGUAUUUCCCCAUACCUGUCUCUGUCCUAUAUUGUAAAGCUGAUCGAGUUUCCACCAGUUCUAUGGGAUCACCUGCAAAAAGGGGAAAAGUCGUUUAUCCACUUUUCAGUGUUUGUUAAGAAUAAAUUUGCGCCUUCGA